UACGUAGGGUGCGAGCGUUAAUCGGAAUUACUGGGCGUAAAGGGUGCGCAGGCGGUCUCGUAAGCUGGGUGUGAAAGCCCCGGGCUUAACCUGGGAAUGGCAUUCAGGACUGCGAGGCUUUGAGUGCGGCAGAGGGAGGUGGAAUUCCACGUGUAGCAGUGAAAUGCGUAGAUAUGCGGAGGAACACCGAUGGCGAAGGCAAUCCCCUGGACCUGUACUGACGCUCAUGCACGAAAGCGUGGGGAGCAAACAGG
rnacentral:rRNA from 1 species